AAAAAAACUAAAAAAAAAACUAUUUUCUUAAAGUGGCACUGUCACUUUUAGCAUCUUUGCAAAAAAAAACAACCUACAUACCUGAAGUCCUCCCUCACGAGGGCUGCUAUUUUCUUGGUGGCUCUAUCUUUAGCUCCAUCUGCUAGAAGCCUUCAUAAAUUAUAUGCUAAUGCCAUAGAGGGCAAUAGAAGAUCACAAAAGACUGCAAGAAGCUCAACAGAAUUUCUGAGAAGAUGCCUUUUCUCAUAACUGUCAUUAUUAAUCAAUACUGGGAUUUUACAAAACUUUUUGGUGGAGACUAUGCCCAGGGAGCGUUGACUUGGACGCUGGCCCCAAGAGUGGUCCUGAAAAACCUUUCAAAUGGAGUCACAUCCAGAGUUGAAUGUCCUUUUAAGUAUCCUUUAUUUUAAAUGGAACUCAAGAAGUGUACUAGAGCCUGGGCCCCAUACAAUAUUGAAUCAGCUACACCCAGGACUCCCAGCACACAACCCUGCAGGACUUGCCAUAAGCAGAGCCUCGGC